UUAUUUGUUUAAAGAGUGAAGGCUGAAAAAAUUACCUGAACUGAAGGAGAAGUGAGUUUCUUAUCUGAAAUAUCACUAUAUGUUCACAUUGGAGAAGUAAACUAUUGAUGGUUGACUUGUGUUUUGACAAAUAGUUGGUGAUAGUUCAUAGUUCAGUGAUGAAAUUCAAAUACCGAAUACUUAGCCAUUGACUCUUUGUUUCUCAUUUCUUGCACAAUGGUUGUUUGGUUAUUUCUUAUUAAUGAAAUAAUAAUGUAUAUGAACUUGCAGGAACUUUAUUGUGAAUUAUAAUCUUCCAAACUACUUAUUUUGGCUUCUCCGGGAGGUGAUGGACAGAUGCGAAAAAGAAAAGUUAGCGUAUGACUCAUGUUGGAUGGCAAUGUCAAUAUUACAGAUGGUUGCAAAACACUUUCAAUGUCAUGCAUUUAUAUUUAUUUUUUACAAUUAUAUAUCAAGUAAAGAACAUAUUUUGCUAAGUUCUUUUUGGCAGAGUCCAUAGAAACAUGCCUUUGAUUUAGAUUGUGUCACGAGUCGUUCUCUCUACUAACUGUCAGAAUAAUCCGAAAGUCAAUCAUUCCCAGCUUUGAUAUGAAGGUAUGGGGGAGAUCAAAAGGGAGUAUGUUAGUCAAAUAGAGGGCUCUCAGACUAAUUAAAGAAAGAAAGAAAGAGGCAAGGUAUUAAGAAUGUAUCCAGUGCUACUUCAAUCAAACAUCUUAAUAUAUCCAGCCAUUUUUCCAGGAGUUUACUUUAACUAUUGUCAUGUCAUGGGAGAUGAAAACUCACCAAAUCUUAACAAGAAGUUGUGCUGAUUAUUUUUGGUGUGUGCACUUUCAAAUAAUUUGCAGGGAACAACAAAUAGUAAUGUCUGGGCACAGAAGAGUUAGAUAUGUACAAAAAGUUGAAAAGUUGAUGUUCUCCAUAGUACAUUGGAUAGUCCAGAUGUUGACACAUUAUUAGUAAUGUCUGUAAAUGCAGAAUGUUUCUAACAACUUCGAGCAUUCUCCCUUUCUUACUUUUUGAUUAUUUCGUUUGGGUGCAAAUUUGAGUCAAUAUUUUAUGUAGUCUUACCUUAUCAAUGAUUUUGCAGAUGCUUGAGUGAAAACAUUUUAUUUCCAUA